GACGAACGCUGGCGGCGUGCUUAACACAUGCAAGUCGAGCGAUGAAGUUCCUUCGGGAAUGGAUUAGCGGCGGACGGGUGAGUAACACGUGGGUAACCUGCCUCAUAGAGGGGAAUAGCCUUUCGAAAGGAAGAUUAAUACCGCAUAAGAUUGUAGUAUCGCAUGAUACAGCAAUUAAAGGAGUAAUCCGCUAUGAGAUGGACCCGCGUCGCAUUAGCUAGUUGGUGAGGUAACGGCUCACCAAGGCGACGAUGCGUAGCCGACCUGAGGGGGUGAUCGGCCACAUUGGGACUGAGACACGGCCCAGACUCCUACGGGAGGCAGCAGUGGGGAAUAUUGCACAAUGGGGGAAACCCUGAUGCAGCAACGCCGCGUGAGUGAUGACGGUCUUCGGAUUGUAAAAGCUCUGUCUUCAGGGACGAUAAUGACGGUACCUGAGGAGGAAGCCACGGCUAACUACGUGCCAGCAGCCGCCGUAA
rnacentral:rRNA from 1 species